rnacentral:rRNA from 1 species
UGAGGAAUAUUGGACAAUGGGCGCAAGCCUGAUCCAGCCAUGCCGCGUGCAGGAUGACGGUACCCGCAGAAUAAGCCCCGGCUAACUUCGUGCCAGCAGCCGCGGUAAGACGAAGGGGGCUAGCGUUGUUCGGAAUUACUGGGCGUAAAGCGAGUGUAGGUGGUUGUCAUAGUCAGGUGUGAAAGCCUUGAGCUCAACUCAAGAAAUGCACUUGAUACUGGGCGACUAGAGGACCGGAGAGGAUAGUGGAAUUCCCAGUGUAGUGGUGAAAUACGUAGAGAUUGGGAAGAACACCAGUGGCGAAGGCGGCUAUCUGGACGGUUUCUGACACUAAGACUCGAAAGCGUGGGGAGCAAACAGGAUUAGAUACCCAUGUAGUCCCUGAGCGGGCUGGCAAGGCGCAU